rnacentral:rRNA from 1 species
AUGCAGCCAUGCCGCGUGUGUGAAGAAGGCCUUCGGGUUGUAAAGCACUUUCAGUUGUGAGGAAAAGUUAGUAGUUAAUACCUGCUAGCCGUGACGUUAACAACAGAAGAAGCACCGGCUAACUCCGUGCCAGCAGCCGCGGUAAUACGGAGGGUGCGAGCGUUAAUCGGAAUUACUGGGCGUAAAGCGCACGCAGGCGGUUUGUUAAGCUAGAUGUGAAAGCCCCGGGCUCAACCUGGGAUGGUCAUUUAGAACUGGCAGACUAGAGUCUUGGAGAGGGGAGUGGAAUUCCAGGUGUAGCGGUGAAAUGCGUAGAUAUCUGGAGGAACAUCAGUGGCGAAGGCGACUCCCUGGCCAAAGACUGACGCUCAUGUGCGAAAGUGUGGGUAGCGAACAGGAUUAGAUACCCUGGUAGUCCACACCGUAAACGCUGUCUACUAGCUGUUUGUGACUUUAAGUCGUGAGUAGCGAAGCUAACGCGCUAAGUAGACCGCCUGGGGAGUACGGCCGCAAGGUUAAAACUCAAAUGAAUUGACGGGGGCCCGCACAAGCGGUGGAGCAUGUGGUUUAAUUCGAUGCAACGCGAAGAACCUUACCUACACUUGACAUGCAGAGAACUUUCUAGAGAUAGAUUGGUGCCUUCGGGAACUCUGACACAGGUGCUGCAUGGCUGUCGUCAGCUCGUGUCGUGAGAUGUUGGGUUAAGUCCCGCAACGAGCGCAACCCUUGUCCUUAGUUGCCAGCAUUAAGUUGGGCACUCUAAGGAGACUGCCGGUGACAAACCGGAGGAAGGUGGGGACGACGUCAAGUCAUCAUGGCCCC